rnacentral:rRNA from 1 species
AGUGAACGCUGGCGGUAGGCCUAACACAUGCAAGUCGAACGGCAGCACAGUAAGAGCUUGCUCUUACGGGUGGCGAGUGGCGGACGGGUGAGGAAUACAUCGGAAUCUACUUUUUCGUGGGGGAUAACGUAGGGAAACUUACGCUAAUACCGCAUACGACCUACGGGUGAAAGCAGGGGAUCUUCGGACCUUGCGCGGUUGAAUGAGCCGAUGUCGGAUUAGCUAGUUGGCGGGGUAAAGGCCCACCAAGGCGACGAUCCGUAGCUGGUCUGAGAGGAUGAUCAGCCACACUGGAACUGAGACACGGUCCAGACUCCUACGGGAGGCAGCAGUGGGGAAUAUUGGACAAUGGGCGCAAGCCUGAUACAGCCAUACCGCGUGGGUGAAGAAGGCCUUCGGGUUGUAAAGACCUUUUGUUGGGAAAGAAAAGCAGCAGGUUAAUACCCCGCUGUUCUGACGGUACCCAAAGAAUAAGCACCGGCUAACUUCGUG